AGCUUAUUGAAUAUAUAUUAAGUAUUUUCUGCCCGGUGAAGUUUUAACGGCCGCGGUAUUUUGACCGUGCAAAGGUAGCAUAAUCAUUUGUCUAUUAAUUGUAGACUGGAAUGAAUGGAUUUACGUAGGAAUGGUUGUCUCCCUAAAGUUAUUUGAAUUUUCUUUUUAGAUGAAGAAGUCUAAAUUUAAAAAAGGGACGAGAAGACCCUAUUGAAUUUUAUAUUUGUUCAAAAAUUUUUUUACAGUGUUUAUUUUUGAUUUGAGUAUUUGGUUGGGGCAACUAAGGAAGCUAAAAUUUUCUUUUUUUAUAUUUUGAUCCGUUAUUUAAUGAUUGAAAGAAUAAAUUACCAUAGGGAUAACAGCGUUAUUCUUUUAGAGAGUUCUUAUCGAUAAAAGAGAUUGCGACCUCGAUGUUGGACUAAAAUUUCCUGAGGGUGUAGCAUUUCUUAAGGGUAGGUCUGUUCGACCUUUAAAAUUUU
rnacentral:rRNA from 1 species